rnacentral:rRNA from 1 species
UACGAAGGGGGCUAGCGUUGCUCGGAAUUACUGGGCGUAAAGCGCACGUAGGCGGUCUUUUAAGUCGGGGGUGAAAUCCUGGAGCUCAACUCCAGAACUGCCUUCGAUACUGGAAGACUUGAGUCCGGGAGAGGUGAGUGGAACUGCGAGUGUAGAGGUGAAAUUCGUAGAUAUUCGGAAGAACACCAGUGGCGAAGGCGACUGACUGGACAUGUAUUGACGCUGAGGUGCGAAAGCGUGGGAGCAAACAGGG